rnacentral:snRNA from 1 species
AUGCCUGAGCAGUCAAACCA